CGCUGGGACUCUUGUGGGCCUGCUGGGUGUGUCAGAAGCAAGGGAGAGGAAGAAGCUCUUGCGGACAACAGGCGCCACCGAGAACGCACACGAGGCCGCCCCCGACGGCGGGUCGCCAGGCUGGGGCCAGAACGGCGCCAGGGCGGACAGAGGAACGGCGGCAAGAACUAGGAGGACGCGGGGGAGGUGCUGUGGAGGUGGCGGGACCUGUGGGAUCGACGUCGUCCGGGAGCCGCCCGGGGGGAGCGGAGACUCCGGAGGAGGGUGUGCGCUCCGACCCGGGCGAGGCUUCCCCUCGCUUCCUCAUCUCCCCUAACCUCCACCUGGGCUCGGAGUCAUGCUCUGACCGCGGGCUCUGCCCAAGAAAACCGAGUUCCUUGAGAGCGACUCCUGGGCGCCGGGGAAGAUCGGGAUAGAAGAGACGGCAGCCCUUUAAUAAGAAAAGCUGGGAUACCAGCAAAAAGGACCCUAAAGACUAUUUUACCACAUUUGAAGCGGUCGUUGGCCAUCCCCCCAAAAUGAAUCCCAACACUGGAAGACCAAGAGGUGCAGCUCCUACAGAGAAGGUGAGCUGUGUAUUCCAUCAAAGUUCUGUGCCUGCGGGAUUGGAUUUCUAAGAGAAGGCAUUCCUGAUCAUGUCUGAGCUGCAUGUGGCCAAGUGCGCUGGGGGAAGCAGAGUUCAAGAACGUGUUCAUGAUUAGUGGGGAGUGAAAAGUAUUAAAUCUAUGGGCUGGAGUGGUCCAGGAAGAGGAGAGUGGAGGCUUAGUACCUGUUUCUGUGCCUGUUUGGGCCCCUGCACUAAAUGCUUCGCAUAUAAGAAUUAGAAAAACCCACCCAAAGAUGCUGGAAAUAGGCAUUUCGGUGCCAUUUCACAGAGGAAAAAACUACGAUGCAGAGAGGAUUAAGUAAGUAAAAGAGACCACAUAGUAGAGGGCGGAACAUCAAGGAUUCCAACCCCAGCAGCCCAGCUUUACGUCUGGAGGAAGCAAGUCUUAGAUUGGGCCUGUCAGGCCAGGAAGAAAACUCAAAGCAUGGAUAAGGGCUCCGAGGGAGUGAGGACUGAUUUCUAUGUGUUUAGGUAAACCAGGUGGAUUUCUGUUUUGGAGGAAAUUGGGAAGUCUGGCUUCGGUAGAGGGUAGUGUGUUUGGAGGGGUGAAAUAUUUUGGGUACCUGUAUUUUGUAUAUUCCACCUGUAAUGGAAUCUUGUGGCUCAGAAAUAAGGAACCAGCCUCAAGUGAUGUUACUAAGAAGUGCCAAUGAGAAUUAGAACCAGAGUCUACCUAACCCCUUCUCAGAAGAAAUUGUCCACGUUUUAGCACUGAAAGUCUUGCAUUGUGGGAAACCGCACCAUCCCAUUUUAAUGCUAAAAGUUUCUUAUUCUGGGAAAUCCCUUAGUUGUGGUUAUAGCUCUGACAGUCCUGCUUCCUAGGAAACUCCUCAUUUCUGGUUUUAGCCCUGAAAGUCCCCAAACCCCUUAGUCCCUGGCAAAUCUGGAUGAUUGAUCCACCUACCCUUCUGUUGGAACAGAUCCUAGAUCAGGAGCACAGGUGGGUGGCCAUAGCAUGGACCCCCAAAAAGCCACUGUCAUGAAGAAAUAUGCUGUGAAGAAAAUCUUUACAGGGCAUCUGAACCCCCAAAGCCACUGAGGAGAAGGUAAGGAAACACUUUGGUGAGUUUGGGAGGUGAGUUUCUCCCCAGGAUGUGGUUUAUGCUCCCAACCGGCCACCCGUAGAUGCUUUUUUCUUUCUUCCUUGGCUGGUGGAGUUGUCAGUGGAGCUGCUUUCUCCUCCUUUCUUGCCUUUGGAUGGCUUUCUUUUCUGAGUUUCCUUUAGGACCUGAGCCAGGGGAAGGCAUUGGCCCUGAACUUUGCCUGUGUUUCCAGAUGGAAGCCAUUGAGCUUUCAGUAAAUCUGAAGUCUAACUAAAGACAACGUCUUGUUUUCAUCACCCCUUAAAGAAGAGGAACCCGUGAGAAAUAUUCUGGAGAAGUUUAACACCAUUAGUGGAAGCGGGGUGAGGAGUCUCUAGCUCCAUAUGCCUCCUCUCCUACCUCUGGAGAGGUAGCCCUUGGGUUCAUGGCGACCCAAUAGGGUAAGCAGCAAUCCCAAUUUUAGCUCUGAGAGCAUUGUGUCCUGGGAAACCCAUCCCUGGAAUGUGAAUAAUCCUGGUUUUGGCAACAAGUGUGGAAGGCUGCAGGAAAUGUACAAAAUCCAUAAGUUUUAGAGGGGCUGAAAGCAACAUUGUCUUUAGUAUCAAAGGGUUAUGGCACAGAUUGUCCAUCAUCUUUACUGUUGUCACCCAUUUGGCCACUGAUACUGGCACACAUAAUUUGUAGUUCAGAAUGGUCAUCCAUCUAUGUUGCAUCAUUCAAAGUGAUGUGGCUUAAGUGUAUAUAAUGAAUAUUAACAGUUCAUCUUUGACUUUGCCUGCAGAUUAAUUGAUGUGCUUUGUAACAAGAUAGUGCCAGUUUAAUUUUUUAACAUUGUGAAUAUUGUGACCAUGUUUUCUAAGAGGUCAGAUAAUGAGAAUGAUUAUAAUACCAAUGCAACCAUGACCCCAUCACUGAAGAACACUAAAUGACUAUGUCCUUUUAAUGAUGGAUGGAAGGACACAAAUUAUUAGGAAGGUAAAUAACCAAAACGGAGCAUACUGCAUAAUACACAGAAAAAAACUUGAGAUUGGACAUGAUGGAGAAGGGAUGUGAAAGCACAUCUGGAGGCCAAAUCUCACCAGUAAGAUGGGACAAGUGAAUGCUUCUAAACCAAUCAAAAAUACUUUGGUUUCUCCAAAAGAUACCAAUGCUCAGUCAAAAAUAGCUGCUGAAUUAGCUUGGGCAUACCAGGCGGACAAGCAUGCCUUGUUGCAGCAUUCCCUUGACUGCUCUAUGAAACUGAGUAAGCUUUCAUUUCCUGAUUCAGGGAUUGCAGCUAAAAUAGCCUCUGGGCAAACUAGGAGAAAUUUUGAUAACAGAUGUGUUGGCCUCUUACAGUGUAAGGCCAGCCUGUCAUACCUCACCAACAAUUCUGCUUUCUAUAGUAUAUCAGUUUUAAGUAAUAAGCCGAAUUAUGGCAGCAAAAAUAUGUUCCCUCUGUUAGGUACUUGACUUGAAAACAGGAGUUUCAAGUCAUCUCUUCAUUUCUAUGAGGAUUUUAAUGAAACUGCUGAAAUCACAAACUACUGUUGAUAUUUUAUCUAAAUACAAACUAGAAUUAGUCUGUCUAUCUUCAUGAUAGAUUUACAUAUGUAAAUGUUGGCAAAUUCCAUUCAGUCUACAAACUUCUUACAAAGAAAAUGAAAAGAUCUUAUCCAUUCAAUGCCUCAUACAUCUUACAUACAACACUGCUACAAAGGGAUGCGAGUUGCUUAAAUGCAAUGUUGAGACUUUUAUAAUAAAACAAUGAAAAGCUUUUGGUUACUUUUCAGUUUUCUCAAGAAGUGCAGAAGCACUUAAGGAGAUUUUUGACUUCACAGAAAUGGAAGGUGAUAACAUUUUUAGACGUGUGCCUACAAGAUGCUGCCAUUGCAGUGAGCCACAGAAAAGAUGCUAAAAUGUUAGGCUGCCAUAAGAUCAUAUCUUCAAAGGAUAAGAAUAAUGUCAUUUGACAUUGUUUGGGAUCUGAAAGGAGAAAAAUCAAGAAUCUGAAGUGGACCUGAAAAUCAGUAAGUCCCUUGUGACUUUGAUUUUUAUGAAUCUGUCUUUCAAAAGCCAGGGUGCUCCUGGAAGAACUGAGACAAACUGAGUUUCUGAACAUUUGAAAAUGAGGAGCAGGCUCCGGAUCCAUAGGGUGUAACCAUCCUUGAGGCCCUGCCUGAGCAGCCAGCCAGUCUGUCAGUCAGUGAGGCUCUUCUGUUUGCUUCCCCUUCUCUGAUUCCACCUAUGUACAACUUAGGAAAACUUGCAUUACUAUAGACUGGGAGUUCUUAAAUGGGGAUAUGUGAAUCUAAAGGGGCCUGAGGAUAGCAAUCAGGAAAUCUGAAAACCUCUAUGGGAAAAAGAAGUUUUUAUUUCUUUCCAUUAGGAAAAUAGGCAACAAACCACAGCAGUAUUAGUACCUGUGUCUCUCUCAUCACUAGGAAUCACAAAUAUCCAUGUUACGGAUACCUUAAAAUAGGUGCAACACUACUUUGAAAUUAUAGUAAUAAUUAGAUCCACCUCUUAGGUCUUAUAAUCUUUAAUAUGUUAAUAAAGAAGCACAUACAGAUUUAAAUGUUCAACAAUUUGAUAACUGCAUUUCAAUAAAAUUGACUUCCUUUGCAA